GAAGAUUAACUCUAUAUGUAUACCUAUUUAAAAAAAUAUAAAUUUUCUAAACUAAUUUGCUUUCCUAUAAUUUACUUUUCAGACUAAGCAAAGCAGUGGCAAAUCUGUAUAUAUAUACUUUUGUAUUGGAUCUCAACCCUUGGCUAUUUAUAGAAUGAAACAUGUUCACUAACCUUCACACUGUAACCUUUAACAUCUGAUGCCCUUUUACAAUGCAAUGAACAACGAAUGAGACUUCAAAAUUCAACAAUGA
rnacentral:lncRNA from 1 species